GCCGAAGUGGUGGAACUGGCAGACACGCUAGUUUCAGGUACUAGUGGGUUUUAACGCCCGUGGGGGUUCGAGUCCCCCCUUCGGCA
rnacentral:tRNA from 1 species